UUUGUGAAUGGGGAUGGAAACCGGAGUAUUGAAAAUGGGGGAACUGUUUUUGUAGACGAGGCUGAAAUGGAGAAGAAGAUUGAGGAAAUUCAACAUAUGGCAAGGGAGGCGAGAGAGAAGGAAAGGUUGGAGUUGAAGGGCAAUGACGUUGAUGAGGAGCAGGAGGAAGAAAUUGAGGAUAGUGAUGUUAAAAUGGGGAUAAAAAAG
rnacentral:misc_RNA from 1 species